UUAACGUUUGUCUCGUUUUUUUUCUCCCGAGGAUCAUCGCACCGUAAGAAGAAAUGUCUGGACGCGGAAAGGGAGGCGAGGACUGGCGAAGGAAGGUGCCGAACGUGAGCGAACGGGCUUCGCAGUCUUCUAUGACGAGAAGUGCCUGGGCUUGGUAAGCGAGGAAAGGCACCGGGGAAUGGAGGUUUCAAAGUGUCACCGUUACUGCAAGUGUUUCGUGACAACAUCCGGUGCAUCACCAAGCCAGGGCACGAGUCUUUCCCGAUAUAGACAAGCAAUGUCUGGACGGUACCGUCACCGAAGGCGCUUCACAACAUCCGGGGAGACGGUGGUCCUGGCGGAAGGCGUCUUACUCUUAGUGUCUCCCCUCAUAGCUGGACUUCAGCAGCUUCUUGAGAUGACAUUCCAUAACUAGCCAUGGAUGUACGUAUGGAAGUCGGCUCUACAAACCAGACAUUUGAGAAGAAAUAUCUGGACGCCAUAAGGGAGGAGAGGAUCUAAAGCGUCACCGUCACUGACAAUAUCGUGCUUCGUGACAACACCAAGUGAAUCACCAAGGAGGACUGGUUGAACAGUUUAGCUGUGAGUCAGAUGAUACGUGCGCACGUUCCGGCCCAGCCCUGCUUCUGCACCUGUACUGGAGGGAUGAAGCAGACCAUGAGACUGUUGACAGUCACAAUAAGUUGGGAAGGAGACAUCUCAGCAUCUUCCAGGACCGCAUUGAUUGAGGCUUCCUGAUCAACUACAGCUGCAAUGUUCAUGGUGGGACUUAUCCUGGUGAGAGAUUGUCCGACGCCAUCUCAACGGUGACGUCCAGCCAGUAGGCGUUACGACAUUUUGUAAAUAGAUGCUCCUUUUGCCCUCAGGGCUAAAGCCAGUUUCUGUGGCGUACAAGCUUGGUGUGUGACUGGUUUUGUUUCUGUGACUGUGUCGAUGGCCGGAAUUUUUUUCGGUCAGUUACUGUUAAUUUUGUCCAUUAUAAACAGGGGUUUCCCUGGUUCACCAUCUGUUGUCAUUUCUGUUUUAUGUCAUGGUCAGUGGUUGUCGGGGACCUAGACCAUUACAUAAUCUGCCUCGUGUUGUUUUCUUGGGUCCCGAACCAAGAGGACGGCACAGGCACAGUUAUCAUGUAUAUCGCUAUGUUAGAUACAUGUACAUAUAGGUAUGCUUACUUACGUUAGGUGUUAGGUAAGUUUUGCCCAUAUUUCUGAGUGAAGGUCUUUUUUUGUUUGUUAAGUGGCUUGGACAUGUAGUGUAGUGUAGUUUAGACGCUUUUUGUAAGCAGCCUCUGUUUUUUGUGUACUUGUUAGAUGCCAUUUUAGUACAGGGGUGGCUGACGCUGGUUUCUUUUUUGUGUGCAUUUCACUUUUUUCAUUCUUGUAGAAAAGUGGUCUUCAUGUUAGAAUUCAGUAAAUGUCAACAUUGUCAG